rnacentral:rRNA from 1 species
UACGGAGGGUGCAAGCGUUAUUCGGAAUUACUGGGCGUAAAGCGUGCGCAGGCGGUUCGGAAAGAAAGAUGUGAAAUCCCAGGGCUUAACCUUGGAACUGCAUUUUUAACUGCCGGGCUAGAGUAUGUCAGAGGGGGGUAGAAUUCCACGUGUAGCAGUGAAAUGCGUAGAGAUGUGGAGGAAUACCGAUGGCGAAGGCAGCCCCCUGGGAUAAUACUGACGCUCAUGCACGAAAGCGUGGGGAGCAAACAGG